AUCCAAUUCACAGACAUCUUAAGCUUGUAUCUCACUAAAUAUCAUCAAAGUAAAACUCUUAUCAUGGAAAAGAGCAUCAGAAGCAAGCAGAUAAAGACAUGCAUUUAAGUUUCUCGCUUUUCAAUUAAUUUUAACUUCUGAUACCGAAACAUGAUAGUACCCAUUUGGUUUAACACAUCAUAUAUCAAUACAGAAAUUUUAUUUUGUUUGUACUCAUGAAUUGAAUAGGGUUCACCGAUCAUUAAGAUAGAAUGAUCUUGGAACAUUGAUAGCCGACAAUGCUUGCCUCCAAAGCUGUCCAUGCAUGCUUCUUAAUUUGCAGUUUGCAAUAGAGAAAAGAGAGACAGGACAUUUGUGUAGGAGAAGGAACAUCAAACAUGCAUGUCGAUUUUGUAAUCAAUGUGAACUCUAUAUAUGUCGACAAUUUAAAUAAGGGUGACUCAUAUAUGUCGACAAUUUAAUUAGCGGUGGCUCAUAUGUAGUUGUUAUGCAACUUCGAAAGGCAAACCAACAAUUUCGCAAAGCCAUGCAUGGUCCUUCCCUGAAUCAUAUAUACAUCAAUGAGAAGAAAAGUCAUUUUCUCUCUUUUUCAUUGUGCAUCCCAACGUUAUUGAUCGUGAGAGGGGAUAUAUGACGACAUACCGCUCUUAUUCCUUAAUGUUUUAGUCAUUGAUCCGAAACCAUCUCAAAGGUGUUGUUUCGAUAAAUUCUAGGUAGUGAUUAAUUAAAAUAAAACUCAUUUCAAAAUGUCAGCAUUCUUAAAUUUAUGACAUUGUAAAUAUCGCUGCCCGGGACCAAUCAUUAUGGGUCCUGAAAAAGAGAAAGGUUUAUAGUCUUAUUAUAUCGGAGAAUGAGUAUUUACAUUAUAUUAUCUCAUCCAAUGUGGUGCCUUUUCAUAUGAAAGGAAAUGAAAGAAUUAAAGAAUGUCCAUCUUGAAAACGCAAGUACUCGCAAUUUACAACCCAGCGGCACAUACAGAACAGAUCAGAACAAGGUCCACGUUAUGGCUCCAACUUUCAAGUUUCAACCCUUGUCGUCAAGCCUCCAUUGGACCCACUGCCAGACCAAUUAUAUAUGUCCUUUCACUUCUAAAACAUAUUAAAACUAAGCAUAUGA